rnacentral:rRNA from 1 species
AUUGAACGCUGGCGGCAGGCCUAACACAUGCAAGUCGAACGAGUGGCGGACGGGUGAGUAAUGUCUGGGAAACUGCCUGAUGGAGGGGGAUAACUACUGGAAACGGUAGCUAAUAACGCAUACCAUCGGAUGUGCCCAGAUGGGAUUAGCUAGUAGGUGGGGUAAAGGCUCACCUGGGCGACGAUCCCUAGCUGGUCUGAGAGGAUGACCAGCCACCCUGGAACUGAUGCACGGUCCAGAAUCGUACGGGAGGCAGCAGUGGGGAAUAUUGCACAAUGGGCGAAAGCCUGAUGCAGCCAUGCCGCGUGUAUGAAGAAGGCCUUCGGGGUGUAAAGUACUAUCAGCGGGGAGGCGUUACCCGCAUAAGAAGCACCGGCUAACGCCGUGCCAGCAGCCGCGGUAAUUC